GUGAGUAACACGUGGGAAACCUGCCCAGAAGCGGGGGAUAACACCUGGAAACAGAUGCUAAUACCGCAUAACAACUUGGACCGCAUGGUCCGAGCUUGAAAGAUGGCUUCGGCUAUCACUUUUGGAUGGUCCCGCGGCGUAUUAGCUAGUGGUGGGGUAACGGCUCACCAUGGCAAUGAUACGUAGCCGCCUGAGAGGGUAAUCGGCCACACUGGGACUGAGACACGGCCCAAACUCCUACGGAGGCAGCAGUAGGGAAUCUUCCACAAUGGACGAAAGUCUGAUGGAGCAACGCCGCGUGAGUGAAGAAGGGUUUCGGCUCGUAAAACUCUGUUGUUAAAGAAGAACAUAUCUGAGAGAAACUGUUCAGGUAUUGACGGUAUUUAACCAGAAAGCCACGGCUAACUACGUGCCAGCAGCCGCGGUAAUACGUAGGUGCAAGCGUUGUCCGGAUUUAUUGGGCGUAAAGCGAGCGCAGGCGGUUUUUUAAGUCUGAUGUGAAAGCCUUCGGCUCAACCGAAGAAGUGCAUCGGGAAACUGGGAAACUUGAGUGCAGAAGAGGACAGUGGAACUCCAUGUGUAGCGGUGAAAUGCGUAGAUAUAUGGAAGAACACCAGUGGCGAAGGCGGCUGUCUGGUCUGUAACUGACGCUGAGGCUCGAA
rnacentral:rRNA from 1 species